rnacentral:rRNA from 1 species
UACGUAGGGUGCAAGCGUUGUCCGGAAUUAUUGGGCGUAAAGAGCUCGUAGGCGGUUUGUUGCGUCGGCUGUGAAAACCCGGGGCUCAACCCCGGGCCUGCAGCCGAUACGGGCAGACUAGAGUUCGGCAGGGGAGACUGGAAUUCCUGGUGUAGCGGUGGAAUGCGCAGAUAUCAGGAGGAACACCGGUGGCGAAGGCGGGUCUCUGGGCCGAUACUGACGCUGAGGAGCGAAAGCGUGGGGAGCGAACAGG